GAUGUUUUUUUAAAAAGGAUGGUUAUGGUGGAGGAAUGUAGUUGUGAAGAAUGAUGUUGGAAAUAUUGAAGAAUAUUGAAGAAGAUGAUGGUGAUACAUAUGUGUUGAAAAUGUAUUAUGUUGUGUGGAUGAAGACGAUGUUGUAAUAUGGUUAAUGAUGAUAAUGAUAAUAUUGAUGGUGAAGAAAAGUGAUGGUGUGUGGUAGAAAUGAUGAGGUUAUUAUGCUAUGGAGGAAAUGGUGGUAAGGUGAGGUGGUGUUGAUGAUUAUGAGAUGUUGGUGAAGAAGAUUGUGGUAAAAUAUUUUGUUGAUGAAGGUGGUGAGAUUAUUAGGUUAUGGAGGAAAUGGUGGUGAUGUGAGGUUGUGUUGUUGAAGAUGAAGAAAUGUUAAUAAAUGCGAUGGUGAAAAAUGUUGCUUAUGUGUUAUACAUUAUCAACAAUGAUGCUUUUUCUUUUUCACUUUUCUUGUGGCCUCCUCCUUUUUCUUAGGGUUUUUUUAAAUAGGCUAAAUUUUGUUUUUUUUUACUUCUCAUUGAGAG
rnacentral:lncRNA from 1 species